GUCUUGUGCAAUUUCUGCCCCAUGGAUUAUGUUCUGAAGAGGCUCUUUGAUUUACUCAGCAACCCUAGCCACCCAAAACACUGCCAGGAACUCAGAAGACAGCCAGAGGGCCCUCUGAGCAAAUAGAAGUUGCAAGUCCAUGGAUGGAAGUUUGGUGCUCUUUUCAUUGAUCAGUUGUCAGGCUUUGUUUCUUCAUUUUACAUACAAGACAAUUGCAUGUGCUUAUCCGGCUUCCCAGCCUUCAGCAACUUGGCAGUUGGGUGGAGGAGCAGACACAGCCCAGGCAGGGUUGCAGCCAGCACAGAAGGCACUUUGUUCAAAUCAGAAAGAGGCACCCCUCUGAGUAGACAAAUUACAGCAAGUUCCUCUUUGGAUGGAUGAAUUGCAAAACCUCACCCUCCCUGCCUGGGUCAUAGAGGGGGACCUGGGAACCCCAGCCCAUCCUAUCUGGAAAGCUCCUCUUGGCUUCCCUCCACCACUGGAUGUGGGGUCAGGACCUGAAUCUGCCUCAUGCCCACCUGCCUGUCUACCCCACGCAGUGGCUCUGCUCACACUGUCUUGCCAUUUUCAGCUCCUCCCCCUUAGACUGGAAAUGCCUCAAACUCCCAGAGUCUCAUUUUCAUGAAAUAAAAUUUCAGGAAGUUGGAGUUUUCAUGUUUGAAUUUUCAUCAUUCAUUCCAAUUUCAAUGCCUACUUUUAUUCACAAAAACAGGCCAGGGAGCAUUUUUAGACAGAACAGCAUGGAUGGUUGACACGUUCCUCUCUGUACUGGGGUUUCAAGUCCCUGAUCUCCAAGCCCAGCCCUUUAUCUACAAGGUGUUGUUCAAUAGUCUGACAUUCUACCUUGCGCUUUCGGGGGUGUGAUCUCACAAAGGACGUGGCUGAGGCUCAGAGAGGCCAGAAAUGGACCACACAGGCCAAUGGUGGGAGAGCCAGACUCGAACUCAAUUCUUCAGACUCCAGUCAGUCACGCCCACAGCACAGCAUGGAUCAGCCUGUUAGUGUAGCAGUCCCUGGAGCCCAGGGAGGGGGAAAGGGGGAUUAUUUUAAUAGUUUUAUUGUUGUUGUUUUUAUUUUUAAAGUUAAACCCACAGCACGAUGUUCUUAAAUUGACUGGCGGGCUCCCAGAUGUUCAUGUAAUUACUACUUCCCUGAACAUAAUAUAUUAGCUCUCUUCUUUUGUGUGUGCCAUCUGUUACACAGUAAAACAUAAGGUCAAAUGUACUUAAUAUUAAGAAAUCAGAAAAUGUAGAAAUGUAUUAAAAUAAAAAUUACCUGUGACCCCAC